AGUAGGAGUGAUUACUAAUGAAAACCCGUCCAUAUUUACGUCACGACCACAACUUGCUGAUUGGUCAAACCACAAGGUGUAUUUUACUGGGUAACGCUGCUGAGAUUACAAAACCAACCCAUUGAAAGGGCGUGUUGUAAAACCUAUCGUUUUGUUUGCAAAUACUAUUGGUAUAUUUUCCUACAAGUUUGUCAGACGAAUAGCAGCAAAUGAAAUCUAGACUGGCUAUGAGGUUAGAUGUGCUAUAGCUAGCUAGCAAGCAAAGGUUGCACCACUGACUAUAUUUUGGACAAUAAUUUACAGCCAUUUAGUUUUUUGUAUAAUCUUAAAUAUAACAUAUCCAUACCUCAUUUAAAUAUAAUACGAUACAAUAAACAUUUAAUUCACUAUUUAUGCCGGGGUAAGGAUACUCCGGUUUCAAUAUUAGGACAGAAUAUGUGUCUCCAUAGCAACGACGGCACCUGAGAGGGACAUUUGUCAUUCGUUUGCGAAAUGCGUUAUUCAUGUUUCUUUGCAGCCUUUCUGUUGGGGAUCAUACAUCAUUUACCGAUCCUCCUCAUCUUCAUCGUCCGGGGUACCAGAGUUACGGGUGUCUCCAGACCCGGUAUUGCUGCCCUGCUUCCCCCCGUGGGGACAGUCAGAGUCACCUUGGCCCUUGAUUGCCUGCUCCUUGGCCUUGCGGCUGCGCUUCCACUUCAUCCGCCUGUUCUGGAACCAGAUCUUCACCUGAACGGAACCGGGACACGGCGUCAGAAAAGAACACGACAGUUUACACGAGGAUAAACAUGUCAGUCAAAACAACCUGCGGCUCACAACCUGCGGCUCACAACCUGCGGCUCACAACCUGCGGCUCACAACCUGCGGCUUAUUUCGGUUCUUGCUCUUCUGUACGGGAGGAUGAUGGGGCUGAGAUAUAAACAUUUUCAUCUUUAAAAGCCGUCCUUUCUGAUGAUAUCAGUUGUAUUGGACUUUGGUUUACAGUUGGCCUGAGGACACGGUG